UGUCAAGGGAUGGGAACGAACCCACGAACUUCCGCUUACCGGGCAGAUGCCAUGACCACUAGGCUACAUAUGC
rnacentral:tRNA from 1 species